rnacentral:rRNA from 1 species
UUCCCCCUUCGGGGGGACAGGGUGACAGGUGGUGCAUGGUUGUCGUCAGCUCGUGUCGUGAGAUGUUGGGUUAAGUCCCGCAACGAGCGCAACCCUCGACCUUAGUUGCCAGCAUUCAGUUGGGCACUCUAAGGUGACUGCCGGCUAAAAGUCGGAGGAAGGUGGGGAUGACGUCAAAUCAUCAUGCCCCUUAUGACCUGGGCUACACACGUGCUACAAUGGGCGGUACAAAGGGUCGCGAACCCGCGAGGGGGAGCCAAUCCCAAAAAGCCGCUCUCAGUUCGGAUUGCAGGCUGCAACUCGCCUGCAUGAAGCCGGAAUCGCUAGUAAUCGCGGAUCAGCAUGCCGCGGUCGAAUACGUUCCCGGGCCUU